rnacentral:rRNA from 1 species
GAUGAACGCUGGCGGCGUGCCUAAUACAUGCAAGUCGAGCGAACAGACGAGGAGCUUGCUCCUCUGACGUUAGCGGCGGACGGGUGAGUAACACGUGGAUAACCUACCUAUAAGACUGGGAUAACUUCGGGAAACCGGAGCUAAUACCGGAUAAUAUAUUGAACCGCAUGGUUCAAUAGUGAAAGACGGUUUUGCUGUCACUUAUAGAUGGAUCCGCGCCGCAUUAGUUAGUUGGUAAGGUAACGGCUUACCAAGGCGACGAUGCGUAGCCGACCCGAGAGGGUGAUCGGCCACACUGGCUCUGAGACACGGUACAGACUCCUACGGGGGGCAGCAGUAGGGAAUCUUCCGCAAAGGGCGAAAGCCUGACGGAGCAACGCCGCGUGAGGGAUGAAGGUCUUCGGAUCGUAAAACUCUGUUGUUAGGGAAGAAGAAAUGUGUAAGUAACUAUGCACGUCUUGACGGUACCUAAUCAGAAAGCCACGGCUAACUACGUG